rnacentral:rRNA from 1 species
CAGUAGCCACGGUAAUACGUAGGUGGCAAGCGUUGUCCGGAAUUAUUGGGCGUAAAGGGCUCGCAGGCGGUUUCUUAAGUCUGAUGUGAAAGCCCCCGGCUCAACCGGGGAGGGUCAUUGGAAACUGGGAAACUUGAGUGCAGAAGAGGAGAGUGGAAUUCCACGUGUAGCGGUGAAAUGCGUAGAGAUGUGGAGGAACACCAGUGGCGAAGGCGACUCUCUGGUCUGUAACUGACGCUGAGGAGCGAAAGCGUGGGGAGCGGACAGGAUUAGAUACCCCCGUAGUCCCUGUCUCUUAUAC